GGCCUGGUGGUGUAGUGGUUACAUGUCCUCUCAUUGUAAAAUCUUGUAAGCGUUUGCUGUGAGGAGGUUCCCUGUUCGAUUCGGGGUCAGGCCA